UUAGGUUAAGUUAUGAAGGGCGCAUGGUGAAUGCCUUGGUACUAGGAGCCGAUGAAGGACGGGACUAACACCGAUAUGCUUCGGGGAGCGGUAAGUACGCUUUGAUCCGGAGAUUUCCGAAUGGGGCAACCCAAUCAGCUUAGUCGCUGAUUACUUGACUAGUGAAUACAUAGCUAGCAAGAGGUAGACGCAGUGAACUGAAACAUCUUAGUAGCUGCAGGAAGAGAAAGAAACAUCGAUUCCCUGAGUAGCGGCGAGCGAAAAGGGAAGAGCCCAAACCAACAAGCUUGCUUGUUGGGGUUGUAGGACUGAACAUUAGAGUUACCAAAGUGCGACGUAGUCGCAACAGUUGGGAAGCUGUGCCAUAGAGGGUGAAAGCCCCGUAGACGAAACGUCACACUCUCUGUUCAGGAUCCUGAGUACGGCGGGACACGUGAAACCCCGUCGGAACCCGCGAGGACCAUCUCGCAAGGCUAAAUACUCCCUAGUGACCGAUAGUGAACCAGUACCGUGAGGGAAAGGUGAAAAGCACCCCGGAAGGGGAGUGAAAUAGUUCCUGAAACCAUGUGCCUACAAGCUGUCGGAGCCCGUUAAUGGGUGACGGCGUGCCUCU
rnacentral:rRNA from 1 species